UUUUUUAUAUUUUGCACGAUUUUAGAUUUUUGCCAAAUAUCAUAAGAAAAAAAUUUAAAUCUAAUAGUAACGCUAAGCACGUUGCUUCAAAGUCUCCAUUUACUAUCAUUUCGUGAAUCUAACGAACGUGUCCAAUUCAGAGGCUAUGCGCACCUCAUAAAACACACUUGUAACAUACGCGUUUGUGGUUACUUAGCUAAGCCGGGAGGAGGGAGGGCAGUGCGCAUUAGCGUACAACAAUUGUAUACUCAUUUUAUGUGUCUCAUUUAUUAAUGUAUAGGUUCAAAUAUAAAACGAUUUUUCAAAACGCUAUGCACGUGAAACUCAUCGUAGAAGGCGCCAAAGGAAUAAUUAAUUGUAUGAAAGACUUACAUCCAUUUUCAACUUCUUCAAAGUUUUUGGUGCAAUAAUUUUCUCUUUGAGGACGAUAGGUGUGAGAUUGGUCCAUUCUCGGAGACUAAAAUAAUAUACAUAUGUAAAGCAGAAAGCAGUUUUCGAUCUCACUUUCUUUAGAGUGAAUGCUAAAGCUAUAGUUAGUGUAUUACCAACAAUGUGUGCGAUUGGUUUAACUGAGAUUUUCUUUACAAAUAUUUUUCAGUUCUUAAUAUUUGCUGGACAUGUAUCCAAUUACUUUUAAUAAUACAAGGUAACCCUUAGGAUUUUUAACAGCGCCUCCUAUACCAAACUCAAGUUGUGAUUUCAUCGAGAAACGACAGACUUAUUUAAAUGCAAUUGUUGCAAAUGGAAUGAGAAAAAAAUAAGAAAUAAAUAAUUACGCCCACAUCUAACAAUUUUCGAUCUCAUAUUCCACUUGUCACUUACUAAAAUAUUAACUUGAAUGAGUGGAAUAGAAUAAGAAGAAAGAAUUGAGAUUUAUUCUACCAUUGAUUUAUUGACAAAUUAUUUAAGUAUUUUAUGCUAAAAUUUAGAUAUAUAUAUAUAUAUAUAGAGAUACGCCUUUUUUUUUUUUGUUUUACUCUUUCAAAUUCAGAAACCAAGAACUUAUAAAUAUCAAUUUGAGUAUGUCAGCUGUUAUUUUGUUCUUUUUACCAUGUUGAUAUAUAAUAAUUUUGCACUCUUCUUUCCUCACAACAUUGGCAAAAUAUUUUUUUUUUUUAUAUUUUCCUUUUACCAUAUUCGUAUAAAUUUGAAUAAUGCAAGUUUUUCAUUGUCCAGCAGACCAGCAAAAAUUAGUAUUGUUGUUCGAAUCAAAACAAAAAUCCAUUCAAACAUCUAUUUAAAUUUAAGACAACAUUACAUUUAAGACGGCAUUACCGUUGCCUGUAUUUACACGCACAUAAAUAUGCAUACAAAUGUUAAAAUAGAAAAAUUCUCAUGCUAACCGCAUAUAUGUGUACGUAUAUAGUUUCGCUAAUUAAUUAAAAUGAUGUAUGUAGUACUCAGGCAAGCUCCGAUUUACAUUCUAUAUAUUCAUUUCUGUGUAUACAUACGAAAAAGGGCUCACUUCGAAUCGUCGCGACCUACGUAAGAUUCAUAAGAUGCUUGGCUACGUAUUUGUAUAUGUGACUACGCGUAUCUAUAAACUAACACAAACGUACCAUGGUGUAUGUAUAUAUCAUAUAUGCAUGCAACUGCAUUGUGAGUAUACAUACAAGUUUUGUUUUUAUAAGUCAAGGCGCGCAUAUACAUAAACAUGUGGCUCUAAUUAUGACUGGGCGUGAGAGUAUACAUUAGUAAUGAGCAACAUGUACACGGCCAAACUUGUUUGUGGCUGUAAUUGUAGUAAAACAUGCACGAUUGCAUGCCAACUGCGAGCAAAUAUACACACAAACACACACGCAAGUACACGCUCGCAUACACGCAUAGAGAAGGAGAAAGACACACACAUCUACGUAAAUGCACCUUACUGACAUGUUUACAACGGUUAACAUACCAUUGCCGAGCAGCCCGCAAUCAUGCUAAGCAGUUUGACUGGAUCGAUGCCAAUAUGCAAAAAUGACGUACACAAAAAAUUUGUACAUACGGAGAUUUAUGCAUUUAUACGUACGAUACAUAUGUAUAGAGACAAGUGCUUAGUUGAAUGAAAACUUGGUUGGCCCACACUCGCACCUAUAUUUUCGAUAUGAUGUAUUAAAAUGGUAAUGCACCAUGCUAUGCUCUUCUCUUCUUUUUUUUUUUUUUUGUUAACACUGCGAGUGCAUGCGAAUUGUUAUCGUGAUAUCUUCUGUUGAGGGAGACAGCAAACGAGAUAGAAACCGCAAAUGUGGAGAGCUUAAAACAAAUAACUGUGAACAUACACAAGCACGUACACAUACACAUAUAGAUAGCAUUUACAAACGCCAUCUUUCUUGGCCUCUAAAGUAGUAGCCUCGCGUAGCUUCUCUUUGUCUUGUUUCUCUUUUUAUAUCAACAAACUUGGCUGAAGUAAAAAACCAUCUGGCUUUUUUUUCUCUCAAUUUUUUUUUUCUUAUUUCAUUUUUAGCAGCAACCAGUCAUUUUUAUUUGCACUCGUUUAACCGGUUGUUUAAUACACAAUACGAUUGAUCUGUCGAUGUGCGAACGCGACGAGCAGAUGUUGUGGUUAAAUAUUUUUUUUCCCUUAUGUAUGAGUGGCUGCUCUGACGUUGUUUAUAUUUCUCGUAUAUCUCGUUACACUCGUACGCGUAAAAGUAAAUUUUUGGCGUUGUGUUACUACAUUGUUGCGUUAUCGUUUAACAAUACGAAAUAAGAAUAGAAAAUAAAACAAGAAGGCCAAACAACAGAGGGACGUAUAAUAAACAAAUAAUUUAAAAAAUAUACACGUAAAGUUCAUGUUGUCCAUGCUUUGCCGCUUUUGUGCAAAUGUUCCAAAGGAGGCAUUGUUUCUAACUAUAUUGCUAAACAUGAUUUUAUCGAAUAAUUGAAAAAUAAGAAUUCGGGAGCAAAGCAGGAAUCGCAACAACAAAUAUGCAAUAUACGGGGGAGAUGUUAUCGAAACAUGCUUCGUAUACAUUUUAAUAAGCUUAAUCGAAAAUGCAAAGGUGUACAGUACGUACUUGGUGGGUGAAAAAUGUAAGGAGCUACCUUCUACAGCAAAACAAGUGAACUAAGUUUGAUGAGACCGUGCAAGCUGGACAAUUGCAAUACUGGUGCACAAUAAAUACAUAUACCUAUAUAAGACCCUCUGCUGCGGUUAAGCUAAUUACACAAUUUGAUAUCAAUUUUAGGAUUUUAUUGCUCAAAAGGAGGAUACGCAAGCUCAUCCUUUCUCCAAAUUCUCAUGUGUAGUCGGGUAGAUAAGGAUCGCGACUACCAACUUUACGUUCGCGAGUUCAAGUCUCAAUGUGGUAGAGUUUUUUUUUGGUCGCAGCUAUAGCGAGAGGUCAGGCAUAACACUUACUCAUUAGUCACACACCUCACUAGGAUGUGGCCGUCUUUCUCUAUCUUCACUGCUUUCUUUCGGGCACCUUAUUACACGAACAUCCCGAGAAUGAUAUAUACAUAUAUAUACAUGUAUAUAAAUACACACAUAUCUAUAUAUAUAUAUAUUUCGUAGAUCAUGUAAUGUUAAGCUCUCGGAAAGUCAAUUAUCUUCAGAAAGAGUGUCAUGAACCGUCUUAAAAAUUACAAAAAUGCAUUUUUCUUUCUACGCUAUAGGAUUUAAUGGACUCAUUUAACUACAGUCAGUACACGUCCAGGUUAUUAAAUAUAGCUUACCGUCCGCGGAUUCUCCGUGUUCAUGCAAACUUGAGAGUCGCGCUUCUUAUACAUCGGGCUAUGCAGUAGCCUUAAAACCGAAAAUAUUGACCCAUUUCUUUUAGCAAUGUCUCGUGACGUGAUGCAUAAAACAAUCAAAAACCAAUUGUAACGAGAAGUUUUGAACGAGAUUCGACCGACAUCAUUGGUGGCAAUGAAAUUUGAAUAGCCUAUUUUCGAAAAAGAUUCAAACUACUCGAUCUCUGACUCAGAGCACUCCGUUUUACUUUAAAACAACCAAACUAUAUCACUUUCGUAUUGUACACCACCAAAUGUUUGCCAGUGGGACACCUCCACAAAUAUAUUCACAUACAGCAGGUGAAAGGUAAAAAGAUGUCGUCUAGAAGGUAUACACCAUGCAAUAUUUACUUCAAUUUCAAAGACUAAUUUACUAUUUUUCUAAGAACAUAUUCAAAGAGAAUUUUCCCUAUCAAAAAUUGAACCAACUGCCAAAAAUGGUUUUGAUAUUUUAGUAAUAGGGCCUCGACUGUUGACGACUCGAUCUAAACUCAUAAAACGCAUUCUUAAUUUGUUUUCACUUACGCGUCCCGGGUUAAGAACAAAAUAUUUUUUACAUUCAUUCAGUCACAUGAGGAAUUUGACUGAACGUUUCGUGAGCGUAACUGAGACGUCCGGCGCAUGUACAAUUUUCAAGUUAUUAGUCAUAUUAUUAAUCAUUCAAUCAAGAUUCAAUCUAUUCUGAUAUUGCUUUUUACUCAGAUCGUGUGCAUUUUUUAAUAACCCUCCAUUCCCAAUCGCGGUAGAAAUGUAUACACCAAAUUUUAAAAUCUAAUCUAUCUCGAAAAAGACAAGGCAUAGAGAAAGAUCACCUUUCACGUUCUUUUUAUAUAAAUAAAAAUCAUCAGCAAUUUUUAAGGCAUUACAUAAUUCACAAGCGCUUUUCUUAAGCUCGAAACUUUAAAUGAAUCAAAUUGUCAGGCUUGGCGUUCCACGUCAUGCGUUGAUUACCUUUUCAAAUUAAAGGAGAUUUCAUCGAAUCCCUUUGCUUUCGAGUUUCGAAAAGAGUUUACUUAGAUGUCGUCAAUUAAAUAAAAUAACGUUACAAAUAAAUUUUGUCGCAUUUCCUCGAUACCAGCAGCAUAGCACAAUCGCUGCAUAAUCGUCAGAUAAUUUCAUAUGAUUAUCUGUUAUGUUAUUACGCUAACAUUGUAUAAGCGAGAAGCAAAGCCAUAUACAUGUAUAUAUAUGUAUAUGUGUAUGUAUGUAUGUAUGUAUAGAUAUGUGCGUGUGUGUAUUAAGUAUUUUCAUUCAUUCUUUUCUUCUCACCAUUCACUGCUGUACACAUUUGGCAUUUGUUGUUGUUGUUUUGUGUGUUUUCGAAAUUGUAAAUUUCUUCAAGAAAUAUGGAAACUGGCAUAUUAUUGUGCCUUAUAUAUAUAUAUGUGUGUACGUAUAUAUAUGUAUAUGCUUAUGCUGCAUAUAUGUAUAUAUAUGUAUGUGUG